CAUGUACAUUUCGAUGUACAGAGGUGUCUUGAGUAGUCAAACACUGAGUUGGGAAGUACAAGGAGCAAGAACUGUAAAGCCAUGAACAGUACGGACCGCCGAAAUGAUUGAGGCGGAGGCCCCGGAUCCGCCGCAGGCUUUGGGCUUGAAUCUGGUUCAGGAGACGUGGUAGGGAAUUUGUUGGCAAUGGCUCGCCAGCUCGUUGAUCAAGGCAAGCCUUUCCAGGCUCUCCAAGCGGUGGCGAUGCCUAUGAAGAUACAAGGGGGAGAUGAAGCUGUAGCUCAAGCUGAACCGUGCUCUGGAGUUGUACCGAAACAAGAUUCAAGCUAGUUCUGCGGCUGAUGAGUUGGCAUUGUUGUUUGCUAAGUUUGCAAUUGAUGAGGCCAUGCCUUCAAGAACUGAACCACCUCAACACAACAUAGAUAUUCUCUUCAGCCAACCUGAUGCUCAAGCAAAUUAUACUUGCUGAGACAGGCAGGAAGCAGAUCAUGCUUGAUGCAUUCUCAGAUGGAAGCAGUUCUAUCUGCUUGCAGUGUGGCGGUCUUGUUAGCAAUCAUCGGAAAGAGGAACAUUGUGCAUUCUGGUGCUGCAAAAUCUGAGUUUGCUCUGAACUUGAGCAUGCAUCGACAUUUGAUCCUUGUCCGAUUAUUGCAGUUGGUAGCUGGAGGAGGCA